GUGGGGGCCCAGCCCGGUCUCCUGGGGUCUCCGCUCGCCGCUACCUUCACUCGGCUCGCCCGGAUCCCGCCUCAACGCCGCCGAUCGCCGCCAUCUUGGAGAAGGAGAGAAAAGCGCGAGCGGCCAGGGAGCCUCAGUCGAGCCCAGAGCGCAGACUCGGGCUCCGGAGGGGGAAUCCCGCUCGACCAAGAGCGCCGAGCGCAUCGAAUAAAACUCGGAGCCUGCUGAGCGCGGGAGCUGGCACUUAUUUAUUGAGAAUUUGCUAUGUCCCAGCCUUGCCCUAGAAGCUUACAAACAUUAUUUCACUUAAUCCUCACUGUAUUCCUGUCGCAUUUUGCAGAAGAGAACCAGGCUGAGAGAAGUUAAGUGACGUGCCCAAGGAUACACAGGAACUAUGUACUGAAGAUUUGGGGGCAAAAGAGGACCACAUCUGCAACUAACUGGAGAUGGUUCAGAAGAUGAUGCACACACACUCAAGCAUAUCGAGAGAGAAAGGGGCAGAGGACACAGAAGGCCCUGAGUUUAAUGUGCAUGUUUUGGGGAAUUUGGAAGAAGAGCCCCUGAUAAUUCAUCCUUCAUUAUUCUUGCAACUUUUCUCUAAAUCUGAAAUUAUAUUAAAAUAUAAAGUUAGAAGAAAACAUGAA
rnacentral:lncRNA from 1 species